GGUAUCAAGCUGGAUAUUCACCAUCAUUUGUAUAAGUGAAGGACAAGCUUAGUACAAUGAACAUAGAUGAACGUUAGAACAAAAAAGCAGUAGCAUAAACGACUCCCUGUUAGAGGCAAACAAUUGGGGUAUGCAUCUAAGGGUAUUAAAAACGACAUUCAUUUUGGUGUUGUAACUAUUUUUUAGAUUGUAUAGGUCUUGACUUACCAAUGUUACUUCAACAAGUUUGGUGGAAAUCUUGUUUGUACAUUUACUAUGGGCUAUACAUUAUAUAGAAUAUGAUAUGUGAAGCUUAAUUAAGAUGGUGUAAUUAAAUAAUUUAUUUUAUGAUGUUAAGAUAAAUUUUAUUGGACCAU